GACGAACGCUGGCGGCGUGCCUAAUACAUGCAAGUCGAGCGGACGAAUCGAAAGCUUGCUUUUGAAUCGUUAGCGGCGGACGGGUGAGUAACACGUGGGCAACCUGCUCUGUAGACGGGGAUAACACCGAGAAAUCGGUGCUAAUACCGGCUAACACGACCUGUCGCAUGACGUUUCGUUGAAAGGCGGCGCACGCUGCCGCUACAGGAUGGGCCCGCGGCGCAUUAGCUAGUUGGUGAGGUAACGGCUCACCAAGGCGACGAUGCGUAGCCGACCUGAGAGGGUGAUCGGCCACACUGGGACUGAGACACGGCCCAGACUCCUACGGGAGGCAGCAGUAGGGAAUCUUCCGCAAUGGACGAAAGUCUGACGGAGCAACGCCGCGUGAGCGAAGAAGGCCUUCGGGUCGUAAAGCUCUGUUGUUAGGGAAGAACAAGUAACGUAGUAACUGACGUUACUAUGACGGUACCUAACGAGAAAGCAACGGCUAACUACGUG
rnacentral:rRNA from 1 species